rnacentral:rRNA from 1 species
UCAGGACGAACGCNGGCGGCGUGCUUAACACAUGCAAGUUGAACGGGCAGAUAUGGAAGCUUGCUGAAGUAUCUGUUAGUAGCGGACGGGUGAGUAAUGCAUGAGGAGCUGUCAUAGGGAGGGGGACAACAGUUGGAAACGGCUGCUAAUACCCCGUAUGCCGGAAGGUGAAAGGGAGCGAUCCGCCCGAUGAGGUACUCAUGUCCUAUCAGCUGGUUGGUGGGGUAACGGCCUACCAAGGCGACGACGGGUAGCCGGCCUGAGAGGGUGAACGGCCACACUGGAACUGAGAUACGGUCCAGACUCCUACGGGAGGCAGCAGUGGGGAAUAUUGGGCAAUGGGGGGAACCCUGACCCAGCGACGCCGCGUGAGGGAAGACGGCCUUCGGGUUGUAAACCUCUUUUGUACGGGAAGAAGGAAGUGACGGUACUGUACGAAUAAGUCCCGGCUAACUACGUGCCAGCAGCCGCGGUAAUACGUAGGGGACGAGCGUUGUCCGGAAUUACUGGGCGUAAAGGGCGCGUAGGCUGUGCUGCAAGUCAGCUGUGAAAUAUCUGGGCUUAACCUGGAUAUGCGGAUGAGACUGCAGUGCUGGAGUGCUGUAGAGGCAAGUGGAAUUCCCAGUGUAGCGGUGAAAUGCGUAGAUAUUGGGAAGAACACCGGUGGCGAAGGCGACUUGCUGGGCAGCAACUGACGCUGAGGCGCGAAAGCCAGGGGAGCGAACGGGAUUAGAUACCCCGGUAGUCCUGGCCGUAAACGAUGAAUGCUAGGUGUGGGUGUAGAGAUACAUUCGUGCCGGAGUUAACGCGAUAAGCAUUCCGCCUGGGGAGUACGGUCGCAAGAUUGA